rnacentral:rRNA from 1 species
UACGGAGGGGGCUAGCGUUAUUCGGAAUUAUUGGGCGUAAAGGGCGCGUAGGCGGCCCGGUAAGUCAAAGGUGAAAUCCCUCGGCUCAACUGAGGAACUGCCUUUGAAACUGUCGGGCUUGAGGCCGGGAGGGGGUAGCGGAAUUCCCAGUGUAGCGGUGAAAUGCGUAGAUAUUGGGAGGAACACCGGUGGCGAAGACGGCUGCCUGGACCGGUUCUGACGCUGAUGCGCGAAAGCGUGGGUAGCAAACAGG